rnacentral:pre_miRNA from 1 species
ACAACAACCGGUCCGGUCUACCGAGCAAUAUCACCCGCUCGGUGAAAGAUCUUCCCUUUGUCGU